UACGUAGGGUGCGAGCGUUGUCCGGAAUUAUUGGGCGUAAAGAGCUCGUAGGCGGUGUGUCACGUCGGCCGUGAAAACCUGCAGCUUAACUGUGGGCGUGCGGUCGAUACGGGCAUCACUGGAGUUCGGCAGGGGAGACUGGAAUUCCUGGUGUAGCGGUGAAAUGCGCAGAUAUCAGGAGGAACACCGGUGGCGAAGGCGGCUCUCUGGGCAUGUCCUGACGCUGAGGAGCGAAAGUGUGGGGAGCGAACAGG
rnacentral:rRNA from 1 species